GCCCUUAUAGCUCAGUGGUAGAGUAUGUCACUCGUAUAUCGUGUUCUGUUCGUUUGAAUAGCAACAUGCGCAGUCGACAUGACAGGGUCCGUCGUUCAAUCCGGCGUGAGGGCA